AUUAGGGUGGCAUAGCCAGGUUUAUUGCUUAGGGCCUAAAACCCUCUAUCAGAAGUUCAACUCUUCUCCCUAACA
rnacentral:tRNA from 1 species